AUGUAUGCUAAUUGGAGAAAAGAACACAGGGACAAGGUCUUUCAGAAAAUGUUCUGGGCAUGUGCGAAGUCAUCGGAUAGAAGCCAAUUCAAUUACAAUAGGGCUAAGCUUGCACAAAACACAGUAGAAGGUGCGAGAGACAUGAUGAAAACCGCGCCAAAGCAUUGGUGUAGGGCCUACUUUAGGAUUGGCUCUUUCUAUGACUCAGUUGAGAACAACAUGUGUGAGUCAUUUAAUAAUGCCAUCAUGAGAUCAAGGUUCUACCCUGUAGUAACGACAAUGGAAAUCAUUAGAAAGAAGGUCACUGUGAGGAUCUAA
rnacentral:rRNA from 1 species